rnacentral:rRNA from 1 species
CCUACGGGUGGCAGCAGUGAGGAAUAUUGGUCAAUGGGCGGGAGCCUGAACCAGCCAAGUCGCGUGAAGGAAGAAGGUACUUAGUAUUGUAAACUUCUUUUGUCGGGGAACAAAGGCGGAGACGCGUCUCCGGAUGAGUGUACCCGAAGAAAAAGCAUCGGCUAACUCCGUGCCAGCAGCCGCGGUAAUACGGAGGAUGCGAGCGUUAUCCGGAUUUAUUGGGGUUAAAGGGUGCGCAGGCGGGAGAUCAAGUCAGCGGGAAAAUGUCGGGGCUCAACCCCGGCCGGCCGUUGAAACUGGGGAUCUAGAGUGUGCGAGAGGUAUGCGGAAUGCGUGGUGUAGCGGUGAAAUGCAUAGAUAUCACGCAGAACCCCGAUUGCGAAGGCAGCAUACCGGUGCACAACUGACGCUCAGGCACGAAAGCGUGGGUAUCGAACAGGAUUAGAUACCCCUGUAGUC